GACGAACCGAGCGAACGUUGUUCGGAAUCACUGGGCUUAAAGGGCGCGUAGGCGGGUGCUCAAGUCCGUGGUGAAAUCCUCCGGCUCAACCGGAGAACUGCCUCGGAUACUGCGGGUCUCGAGGGUGAUAGGGGUAUGCGGAACUAUCGGUGGAGCGGUGAAAUGCGUUGAUAUCGAUAGGAACUCCGGUGGCGAAGGCGGCAUACUGGAUCACUUCUGACGCUGAGGCGCGAAAGCCAGGGGAGCAAACGGG
rnacentral:rRNA from 1 species